CAGCCCUGCUGUUCCGGGGGGCGGGAGGGGAGGGGCUCACCCUGACGUGGGGCCCUUCGGCCUGCCUGGCGGCCAGGGCUUCCAGCAGGUCCCUGCGGAGCUCCACCAGGAACCAGAGGCCGCCCUCGUGCCUGCCCAGAUAAAUGACAAGUCAGGGGAAGUUAUUUGGGAUCGAUGAGUGAUCUGUGGGCCAGGCAACAGAAAUUCAGACCACAUGGUGCUGUAUCAAUGCAGAGGACCAGAAGGAAAUGGUGGACACACUGGUCAGAAAGGAGUUUGCGGUACAGACGCCUCCUCGUCAGGGGAUGCUGUGGAGACCGUCUGGAGAGUACCCAUUUCAUUAUGCAAAUCUGGUCUUAGAAGAAACUUUUAAAAAUGCAAAACCUGCAUUUCUCAUUUGAAGCAAAAUGUUUUAAUCAAGUCAACUGCUUUGUUGUUCCCUCGUGCCAGCCAAUGUCAAUUUGACAUGUGCAUAUAAAUGAACCGGCUGGGGGAAAAGAAAAUCUAAAAACCAUCUAACUAUGGAUUAAUACAUCCCUCUUUGAUAUUAGCCAUUUUUACACACCUCUGAUUACUUGGAAUAUCCUCUUAGGUAGGGAUUCACCCACAAUCUACAAGGCAGUGCUUCUAGAUCAGCCUGUUAUGGAAAAAGAAAAUCUACACAUACUGUAUGUUAAUAUCCUUUCAUCUUUCGAACUAAUGUAUGUAUCAGAAUGAAAAAUGUAAUGCAAAGAACUUUAACAAAUGUGUUUAAGUGUUAAAUAUUAGUGUUAGUUUCAAAUAAACGUCACAUAAAUAGUC